rnacentral:rRNA from 1 species
CGAAGGAUCCAAGCGUUGUCCGGAUUUACUGGGUUUAAAGGGUGCGUAGGCGGACUUUUAAGUCAGUGGUGAAAGCCUGUAGCUUAACUAUAGAAUUGCCAUUGAAACUGAAAGUCUCGAGUGUGGUUGAGGUAACUGGAAUAUAUCAUGUAGCGGUGAAAUGCUUAGAUAUGAUAUAGAACACCAAUUGCGAAGGCAGGUUACUGAGCCAUUACUGACGCUGAGGCACGAAAGCGUGGGGAUCAAACAGGAUUAGAUACCCUGGUAGUCCACGCCGUAAACGUUGCAUACUCGAUCUUAGCGAUACACAGUUAGGAUCCAAGCGAAAGCGUUAAGUAUGCCACCUGGGAAGUACGUUCGCAAGAAUG